CCUAUCAAAAAAGAACCUUUAUAAAUAUGAACGCCAGAAUUAAAGCUAAAGGAAAUGGAUCCUGUUGCUGUUCUCUGGAGACACGUUAUAUCAUUCCUGCGCAUUUUUUAAGUCAAUAACGUUGCAGAGACUGGUAUAAUUAAGAGUUGCAUGCAGAAAGGUGGAGGUUGUUGGUAAAAGGGGAAUGGGAAGACAAUUGCAUAAUCUGAUACUUUAAAAUUUCUGAAAUCCCAGGAAGAUCUCUGKUUUUUUAAUUGCUUUUUUAAAACAUUUUAAAAUAUGUUUGAGGUCAAUUUAGCUGGAAUAAUUUAGAAAAGUUAGUAAUAGUAGAAAUAUACUAGCCAAGGUAGUCUAAGGUAUAAGCCAGGCGAGUUUURUGGGAAGAGAUACUGUAUUUUAUUAGAUGAGCUAAUAUGUUUGUGAAAAGCAUACAAGCUUUUGGGCUUACUAGCCGUUGAUACCAUGCAUAAGCUUCAAAUAAGUUUUCAAGGAUCUUUAGCAUUGAUAUGAAUAGGACUUCUUUAACUCAGCAUGUUGCCAUAACUGAACCUUUUAACUUCUUCCUUUCAGAUUAGAUCCUAAAAGACUGUUGCGUAGGUAUUGGCCUUUUCUGUGCCAAUCCACCGAGGUCUGUCAGCAUAUAUGUAAAACUCGCCAAGAGUGUAUUUUGUGUAUGAUCUGCUAUACAAAUCUAAAUAUCCCAUUUUGUAGGAAGUAGUUAGGUAUUAGGGCUAUGAAAUGGCACAAUCAUGUAGGUAGCUAAUUUGUAACAGCUUGGUACUUUUUUCUGUGAAUGUAGCGAUAGGCAGAAUCCCUGCUUAUGUUCAUGCACCCCCUGAUUGCCCCGUGAUAUAUGUACAUUUGAGAGGGGAGGAAUAGUUUGGGAUAGGAGGAACGGCUGUCCUCACAUUUAGAGUCAAUAUAUUUUUAUUGUGGACUUAACGGAUAAGAAUCACUCCAUACGCAAUCAACAGGCUAUUAUUCACUAAUGCUAUAUCCAGCUAGCAGGAACGUGAACGGAUUUUUAUUKCACCAAGGAAUUCUAGCCACAUAUUGACAAAGGAAAAUAUAGCUAUUGUGUAAAUUCAGCAAUGCUAAAAAAUAUGCUAUUGGUAACAU
rnacentral:lncRNA from 1 species